rnacentral:rRNA from 1 species
GUAAGGAAUAUUGGUCAAUGGGGGCAACCCUGAACCAGCCAUGCCGCGUGAAGGAUGAAGGCGUUAUGCGUUGUAAACUUCUUUUGUAUGGGAAGAAUGACAGGGAUUCAUCCUUGGAGAGACGGUACCAUACGAAUAAGCACCGGCUAACUCCGUGCCAGCAGCCGCGGUAAUACGGAGGGUGCAAGCGUUAUCCGGAAUCACUGGGGUUAAAGGGUACGUAGGCGGUUAAUUAAGUCAGUAGUGAAAGACUGUCGCUCAACGACGGAUGUGCUAUUGAUACUGGUUAACUUGAAUCAGGUUAGAGUUGGCGGAAUGGGUCAUGUAGCGGUGAAAUGCUUAGAUAUGACUUGGAACACCGAUAGCGAAGGCAGCUGACUGAGCCUUGAUUGACGCUGAGGUACGAAAGCGCGGGUAGCAAACAGGAUUAGAAACCCGGGUAGUCC